CCUACGGGAGGCAGCAGUAGGGAAUCUUCCACAAUGGGCGAAAGCCUGAUGGAGCAACGCCGCGUGGGUGAAGAAGGUCUUCGGAUCGUAAAACCCUGUUGUUAGAGAAGAAAGUGCGUGAGAGUAACUGUUCACGUGUCUACGGUAUCUAACCAGAAAGCCACGGCUAACUACGUGCCAGCAGCAGCGGUAAUACGGAGGUGGCAAGCGUUAUCCGGAUUUAUUGGGGGUAAAGGGAACGCAGGCGGUCUUUUAAGUCUGAUGUGAAAGCCUUCGGCUUAACCGGAGUAGUGCAUUGGAAACUGGGAGACUUGAGUGCAGAAGAGGAGAGUGGAACUCCAGGUGUAGCGGUGAAAUGCGUAGAUAUAUGGAAGAACACCAGUGGCGAAGGCGGCUCUCUGGUCUGUAACUGACGCUGAGGUUCGAAAGCGUGGGUAGCAAACAGGAUUAGAUACCCUUGUAGUC
rnacentral:rRNA from 1 species